UCAGGUUGCUCAGGUGCUCGACCUCCACCU
rnacentral:antisense_RNA from 1 species